UUUUGGCUGAAAAAGGUAAAUAAGAGUGGGCUACUUUUCAGAUGAUGUUAUGAUUUGUAUUUUCAUUACAUAAAUUAUAUAUUUUCAAAUAAUAUAUAACUCUGGUAAUCCUGAUUUGCAGUUAAACACAAUUACUAAUGCACCACCAUUAUCAGCAUAAUACAAUUUAACAGUAAAAUAAACAGGUUCACAAAAUUUGUUAUAAAAUUCACUCACCAUUGUAACAUUGCUGUCCAAAUGUUGUGCCUUCCAAUGAUUUCUGUGUUUGUUCAAACUCUGUAGGAUUAAAAUAAUUAAGCUUGAUUAUGGUUCAUAAUGUAAUGAUUUUAUUCUAGCCAAAAUAGCUUUUCAUCUCCAAAUUGCUUUAAUUGGGCCUUCAUAACCAUAAAAAAAACAAUUCAAUACCAUUAUAAUGGUUAUUUCUUUUAGAAAAAGUAGAUUGCAUGUUGCUGUAAAAAUAUGGUAAAUAACUGAUCAAAUUAUUCAUGUAUUUCUUUUAAUAUAACAACGUGUUGCAAGUUGUAAGACAGAAUUUACUAUUUUAUAACCUGUAAAGAGAGAUGAAAUAUGAAGAAAAUGUGUUGCUUGGUUAGUCUACUCCUUAAAAUGUUACUUUAAAUGCUUCUUCAUUUAUAUAGCUUUGACAGUCUCUAGAACCAUAAUUUUAGCACUAUUAAUCCUUUAAAAUGUUAACUUAAGGUAAGCAAUCUUAAGAAAAACAGUUUUCAGUUCUUGAAACACUGCCCUUGCUUCUGUUUUGAGAUGUAUGUUUAAAUGGGGAGCUUUCACCUUCAUAAGCCAGCUUUCUCCUUCUUCUGGAUCUGGCAGAGUUAGCAUAUGUUUGAUAAUCUUGCCCUAGAAAUAAGCCUCAACAAGUACUGCAGUAUCCUAAAUGAGAGGAACACUGGCUGAAAGGAACCAAAACCUUGUUUCAACACGAACACUAAAAGAGAUUAGAUGUAUUCAGAUUCUCAGUCCAGUAUGGGUCAAGGACCUUCAUACCAUAAAAAUACCUUUUUGAAAGGAGAUAUGUAAAGUUUGUCCAAAACCAAAAUGGCCUGCUUUGACAGUAUUCUGGAGAUUGAAGUUUAAAUCUUUGGAAUUCAAGGUAUGUUUUCCAACCAGUGACGGUUAUUGCAGCAAAGUUUUUGUUGUUGUUUUUUAAGCAGGCACCAUGAGACCAGAAAUCUGUGCUAAAAAUCAGAAGAGCUGACAGAUUUUAUACAAACUUAAUGUUAGCAUAGAGGGCUAGCUUUCUGAUUCUUCUUCACUGCUAUUCUUGCAUGUUUUCAUGGAUACUAACACCAAUGCUUUUCCUUCCCCUCCACGCUAAUUCUGUCAGAGGUAAAAGAGGUCGGCAUUUAACAUGUUGCAAUAGGAAUGCUAUAUGUUUUAAGUCACUUAAGAUCUUGGAGUAUUAAAACUUUGUGGUAAAAGUCCAGUUUACUAUUUGUUUACCUUUUGCAAUUUACUCAGCUUGGAUGGGGGGUGGGGGGGGAGAGGCUAUUCAGUUUCCCUUUCUAGUUCUCAUAAAAUGGGGCAACUUGCAAGCAUUGUAUGGAAAAUUUAAGAUACGGCCAUCAGAUCUGUGCAGAUGGACCUUUCUAUCUAGAUGGAAUCCUACUGAACUCAAUGGGUUCCUGUAUGGGUGCAAGGUACUGUCCAUGAGCCCCAUUACUGGACUGGGAUCCAAAUGUUUUUAUUUCGAUCUUAGUAGUUCAUUAAAACAUUCCUAUUAAUACUACAUUUUGUAAUAUUUUUUGUUAGCUACAAAAAAACCCCUAAGCUUUGUCCUCAACUACUUGACAGAGAUCCUUUUAAUACACAGAUAUCAUCAUUUACAAGACUGUUCUCAGCCAGCUAAAUGUAUGAUUGCCUGUUUUCUCCAAGAACCUCUUUGGUGCUGGAGUGUCAUGAUAAAUUAGGUUUACCAAAAAACCCAAACAAAAAAACAAAACAAGUUUUCCAAAGACAGAGCAGUCAUCUACUUUAUUUACUAUCUUCUACCAUGAAAUGUUACGUCCUAUAUCUUUCCCCAGAAUACAGUAAAGUCCACCCUUCCACCCCAAAAACCACCACCACACUAGAUGCCAUCAUAUCCACACUGCACUAGUUUGUGAACACUCUGUUCUUUACCUGACGAACUGCUGAAAAGUGAGACACUUGCUGCUGCUGCCAUUUGAGAGUUGGAGAAUAUCCCUCAGGGGCAGGAUGGCAUCCUGUGAGCUAAGAAAGCAUAGGUAGGAUUUUUUUUUUUAUAACAAGUAAUCAACAAACAGAACUCUAAACUAAUCAAGUCUAAAACUAAGAAUUUCCACUUAAAGUACAUGUGAAACUAGGAAGACAAGAGAUAAUUCUACUUUGAGAAAGAAAAUAAAACCAGCCCCAAUUCUCACAUUUUACAAAAGAAAUGUCAUGUUUUGACUGGUGAUAUGCUGAAGAUAUCCAAAUGACAGAUGUACCCCACUCUCUUACUAUUAAUGGGGAAGUAUUGUUUUCUCAUAAUGAUAGGGGAAAUUCUCUAAAAUAGAACAAAUGGUCAUUAUUUUUCUUUUUCUGAGUGUAGAUUUAAAUAGUUUAUUUUGCACAAAGUACAAAUGCAAGUUUUACAGAAAUCUGAAUCAGAUAUAUUGACUGUCUUACUUCAUAUCACAAGCAAGUGGAUAGCCUGAUUUGCACAGAAUAAAAGACUGAUCUAUAAAAAUACAUUGUUUUAGGGCCCUAAACAGAUCUACCACUUCAAUUAAGAUGGGGCAACUGCCAGCCAUAUAAGACAUCAGUGCAGAAUCAGAAGAAUUACCGUUCCAGAUCUCCAAAUUAAACCCCAUGAAUUGGUAAUAAAAAUCUAGGAGGUAGAGAUGAAAAUUUUUAAAUGCUUGUAGUUAAGUGCCUUUUAGAGGAAGGGAUAAUGAAAAACCUCUGUAAUGACUUCUUGCAGGUGGGAUGCUGAAAAUUUAGCAAGAAUAUAGGAUCUCUCUCUAGAUUAAAAGUGAACCCCAAAACUCACACUAAUCCACUACUUUUACAGUUCAGUAUUGAGCCAACUCCCUAUUUUAUUGCAUUAAACAAGCUCUGAAUGAUUCACUGGAAGACACACACAAGCAGGAAAUUCCACUAUUAUUUCUACGAGAUACAAUGAGUUAAAGAAAAGUUAAUCUGAACUGUAAUGUAUAUUAAAAAAAUUGAAUAAAAUAGUUUCAGGUACCACAUUUUGCCUGACCACAUCCCAAUUUGAUUUUACAAACACUUAGGCUUGGUCUGCACUACAAAGUUAGGUCCACGCAAAGCAGCUUAUGUUGACCAAGUUUGUGCAUAUAUCUAUGCUUAAAUUGGUCUCCCUCCGAUGUAAGUGCCUCAUUAUGCUGACACAGUUAUACCAUCUCUCCAAGCGGCGCAAAGAGCCACAGUCCAUGUACUUAGGUCAACACAGGGCAAGUGUAGACACUGCAUUACUAUAGCAAUCCUAACUGUCGUCCAGCAGCUGUCCUAUAAUGCCCUACACUGAUCACUCUGGUCACCAUUGUGAACUUCACUUCCCAGGGGUCACAUAAACCAGAAACCCCUCCUCCCAUUUAAAGCCCUGCAAAUUUUUGAAAUUCCAUUUCCUGAUUGCCUGGUACAGUGUUCACACCUAGCAGCUUUCCAUUGUUGAGUGCAAUUGCUCAGCUGACCACGCUGGCUAUAUACUCCAGAUGCACUCCUGCCUGGAGCAGACAGGAGAUAUUGGAUCUCCUGGGCCUGUGCGGAGAAGAGGAUGUGCAGGCCCAGUUUCAAACCAGCUGUAGAAAUGUCCAUAUCUACCAGCACAUUGCUCAGGGGAUGCAAGAGAAGGGACCAGCAGCAGUGCCGCACAAAAGCCAGGAAGCUGUGGCAGGCAUACCAGAAUGCCAGGAAGACCAACUAUCGAUCUGAUGCCAAGCCGCAGACCUGUCCCUUUUACAAAGAAAUGCAGGCCAUACCUGGCAGAGAUACCCCUCCCGACGCCAGCACAGUGGAUACCUCUGAGAAGCCAAAGACAUAAAUCCCUGGUGUGAACAGUGAGGAGGAAGAAGAGUUGGUGGUGGAGGAAGAGGAGUAUGGGACAGGUAACCAGGAGAUCCAGCUGCCCAGCAAGCCAGGACCUGUUUCUGACUCCACUGCAGUCCAGCCAAUCAAGCACAGCUGCCAUUACAGCCUUCAGGAUCUCCCCCUGCACACCUGCAGAAUGCCUGAACCAGAUGAGGAGAAAGAGGACUCGGGAUGACAUGUUCAAUGGGAUCCUGCAAGCCAGAGCUGCAUUGUAUCAUGAGCACAAGGCAUGGAGGAUGAAUACUAUGGACAUCCCACAGAAGGAAAGAGUGGAGAGGGGAAAGGCCCAAGAGUUCCAGCAGGAAAAAGGAGAGAGAGAUGCAUUAGGACAUAAUAGGGAUUUUCAGGCAGCAAACACAGAUGUUGCAGGCUCUGGUGGACCUGCAGGUUCAACAAUCCCGAGCUCACCUCCCUCUACAAUCCAUUGAGAGCUCAGUAUCAGGAACAUCCUAUAUCCCCCACAUAACAUUCCAUGUGUCAUCAUUCCCCAUACCACUCCACCCCAAGGGACAUUAAAGACAAUCACAGUUUCUCAUA